rnacentral:rRNA from 1 species
GACGAACCGUGCGAACGUUGUUCGGAUUCACUGGGCUUAAAGGGCGCGUAGGCGGCUUGCCAAGUCAGGGGUGAAAUCUUUCGGCUCAACCGGAAAAGUGCUUCUGAUACUGGCGGGCUGGAGUACGGUAGGGGCAGAGGGAAUUUCCGGUGGAGCGGUGAAAUGCAUUGAGAUCGGAAAGAACACCAACGGCGAAAGCACUCUGCUGGGCCGACACUGACACUGAGAGACGAAAGCUAGGGGAGCAAAUGGG